GUCAGGAUGGCCGAGCGGUCCAAGGCGCUGCGUUCAGGUCGCAGUCUUGUAAGAGGCGUGGGUUCAAAUCCCACCUCUGACA
rnacentral:tRNA from 1 species